rnacentral:rRNA from 1 species
UACGUAGGGGGCGAGCGUUGUCCGGAAUCAUUGGGCGUAAAGAGCGUGUAGGCGGUUCAAUAAGUCUGCUGUGAAAGUCCAGGGCUCAACCCUGGGAUGCCGGUGGAUACUGUUGAACUCGAGUCCGGAAGAGGCAAGUGGAAUUCCUGGUGUAGCGGUGAAAUGCGCAGAUAUCAGGAGGAACACCCAUGGCGAAGGCAGUAGACUGGGCAUCUCCUGACGCUGAGGCGCGAAAGCGUGGGGAGCGAACCGG